ACUCCUACGGGAGGCAGCAGUGGGGAAUAUUGCACAAUGGGCGCAAGCCUGAUGCAGCCAUGCCGCGUGUAUGAAGAAGGCCUUCGGGUUGUAAAGUACUUUCAGCAGGGAGGAAGGGAGUAAAGUUAAUACCUUUGCUCAUUGACGUUACCCGCAGAAGAAGCACCGGCUAACUCCGUGCCAGCAGCCGCGGUAAUA
rnacentral:rRNA from 1 species